rnacentral:tRNA from 1 species
GCCCGGUUAGUGUUAGUGGCAGCACGUCUGAAUGUGGAUCAGAAAGGGCAGAGGUUCGACUCCUCCACCGGGUGCCA